GCUGGCUGCACAGGCGUGCUGACAAUCACACAUGGCCAGGGGCUCGGAGGAGCUCCUCCCCGCCUGGAUUAAUGCUCUGCUGUCCCUGUCUUGAAAUUCUUAGUGCUGUUUGGACAAGGAUCCCGGGUUUUCGUUGUGCAUGGGAUUCCACGCAUCGUGUGGCCUGUUUUGUCCAUGGCACGUGGCCAUCAGCCAGCCUGGCUCAGCCCCACGGUUUCUGAUGGACUAGCGUGGCCUGAGACCCUGUGCAGAGGGAGCCCAGGCCAGUGCGGAUGAGGCUCCCACUAGUUCUCUCUCUGUCUAAAUGGGCACAAACUGUACCCACAGCUAGCGGGGACUCCAUGGCAUCAGCUAAGGCUGCCACGGGAAGCCAGGAUUUCCGAGUGUAUUUAAUAAGCUAAUUCGAAUGCAGAUAUUAGAAGCUAUAGGACUGUCUUUCCUCCUCCCAGACGGUGUUUAAUGAUGAGCAAGGAGAGACAUGGAAAAGGAGCCAGUGCCCAUCCCCCCCCCCCCCAUCUCGCAAACCUAAAGGAGACCUGAGCUGGUGUGUGGAGCUCUACACUGGAUGUGAGUCGGGAGUUAGCUGCCUUCGCGCCUUGUUAAAACCGAGGACCACAUUUGCUGAUGUCCAGACUUUUCAGACCUUUUCUCUCUUUCUUUCCCUAGAAGACCCACCCGGCUUCUUGCAGGUAAAACCAUCACUUUCAAGAACAGAGGAAUGCCAGCGGGAUGGGCGUGUGGCCGUUAUGAUGUCACCCAUCUUCAGAGACAAGACCUUGCCGAGCCGUCGCCCCCUGCUGGCCAUUAUGACAACCCGCGAUGACACCCCAGACCAGUCACGGGUGAAAGCCUGAAACCCACCAAGGAAAGGAGAUGUGUGAAAAUCAAUAUAGGAUGUGUGAAGGUACAAGUUAUGUGGAUACCAAAUAUAUGAGCACCACAACUUCUGUGAACAUGAAGGAAACUCCCCGAGACCUUACCCUGGGAUAUUGCAAAUUCAGCUUGGCCUGGAUCUGCCCAGCUUUCAUCUCACUAACGUUGUCACAAGUGCUUUCCCGUCUAGAUUCUCACAGCACACUGGACAGAGCUCUUUGACGGCUAUCUACACACAAAAGGACUUCACUAGCAGGCCUGAUUCCUGUCCUACAAAUGGCUUGGUCAGCAUUCUGAGAACUUAUGUUUAGGGAAGAUUCAUGUUAUCCUAACUGGGCCACACAUCUGCGGAAUUUCCCAGGCUCAGGGUCCAGUUGGAGCUGUAGCUGCCGGCCUACACCACAGCCACUGCAACGCAAGAUCUGAGCCACAUCUGCAACCCACACCACAGCUCAUGGCAAUACUGGAUCCUUAACCUAAUGAGCAAGGCCAGGGAUUGAACCCGCAUCCUCAUGGAUACUAGUCGGGUUCGUUACUGCUGACCCACAACAGGGACUCCGAACUAAUUUUUUUUUUCUCAUGGCCACGCCCGGGGUGUAUGAAGUCCCUGAGCCAGGGACUAAAUCCGAGCUGCAGCUGUGACUUAUGCCACAGCUGCAGCAAUGCUGGAUCCUUAACCCACUGCACUGGGCCAGGAAUCGAACCUGCGCCUCAGCAGCAACCUGGGACACUGCAGUCGGAUUCUUAACCCACUGUGCCACAGCAGGACUCCGGGAACCAAUCCCUUUUAACCAUCUAUUAUGAACACACUACUUAUUAUUUCAAUGAAUUUUUAGAAAACCGCUAGAGAACUUUCUCUCCAUUUUACAGACCAGGAAGCCAAGUCUUACCUUAUUGCAGAGUUGGGAUUGGCAUCUGCCCAGGACUUUUUCUGCUGUGGCACAUUUGCCUCCAUAGGUGUCAAUCUGUUAGGUUGUCUACUAUUUGAACCAAUAGCCCAGCUCACUAACCUCCUGUGCUGCGCUCUUUUCUCCUGGGGCUGCUGAAGUCCUUUUAUCUGAAUGAAGAGUGAGUGCAAAGCCCUACUUUGAAAAUACAGGCAGAUUAGCAGGGAGCCAUGUGGUCGUUCUGCUCAGAGAGGCACUGUUGAAAUCUGCAUGAGCAUGUAGCCAAAAAUACCCUCAGUGGUCCAGCAGUCCUUGCUAAACUGAGCACACAGGAAAUGCUCUUUAAUUAACACUGGCCGCAACUAUCUGAAAGAUACUGUGCUGUUUGUGACUGUUCCCUGGCUGGCCUGAUGUUCCUGAUAGCUGCCUGUCAGCCCGAGUUCCCUAAUUGUCUCCAGCUUUCUGUGUUUAUUCAAGUUGUGCUUCAGUGAAUCCGGAAAGCAUUUCCUCUUCCUUCCCAGCUUGUGACGCUCCCACUUCAGCUUGUCAUACAACAGCUGUCACGUUGUGCGUGUGAGCAGUCCGGCAGAAUGACAUCCCUCUGUAUCCUGACUUGGCCCCGGGACUGUGGGAGGACAUCCCUCCCCACGGAGGCCGGGGAUUGAAGAACCAAGGACGUUCGCGCCUGACUGUAAACGCGCAAAAUGCAUCGGCGAGGUGUGGUCCCAGCAGAUGAUACAGAUGUGAACUGCGG
rnacentral:lncRNA from 1 species